CCCUGCAGAAGCGGGGAUCCAGUGCAGAGAAGCUGAGGAUGAGUGUAGAGAAACAAGGAUCCAGUACAGAGAAACGAGCUAGUAUAGAGAAGUGGGGAUCCAGUGCAGAGAAGCUGGGGGUGAGUACAGAGAAGCGGGGGUCCAGUGCAGAGAAGCUGGGGGUGAGUACAGAGAAGCGGGGGUCCAGUGCAGAGAUUCUGGCGAUGAGUACAGAGAAGCGGGGAUCCAGUGCAGAGAAGCUGGGGGUGAGUACAGAGAAGCGGGGAUCCAGUGCAGAGACGCUGGAGGUUAGUGGAGAAAGGGCUUUCAAGGGAGAGAGGCAGGGGUCCAGAGGAGAGGGAUCACGAUCGAGUGCAGAGAAGCGGAGGACCAGUGGAGACGAUUUGAUUUCCACUGGAGAUACAGUGGGUACCAGUCGGGAGAAGCUGAGGACCAGCUGGGAGAAGCUGGUGAUCAACAGUGAGACGUUGGAAACCAGUGAUAAGAAGCUGGGCACCAGUGAGGAGAAGUUGGAGGACAUAAGUGAGACUGUGGAAAGAGUGACUGAGUUGACCGGGAAUGAUCCCAUGGAAGAAAUCUCUUCAGACCAUGUGGAGGGAAGUGCUGAGGACCCAGAAGGGACUGCAGAAGAUGUGGACGUUGACGGGGUCAUCUUGCUUGAUGUGACGGAUAUUGCUGAUGAGUUGGUUUCUCGGGAGGAGAAGAACGCUCCAGGUCACAGUACCUAUAAUGAGACAGAGGACAGAAGUUGAAAGAGUAGCGGCUGCAGAAGGAAAUAUUACACCAAGAACGGCUUACGGCUGGGGGGGAAGGGGGGAGGGAGAGGGACUGAAAAGAAAGGAGAGACUGAGCCUAAGACAGAAGGGUGGCAAUAAAUUUAAAAAGAGCUCCUGGGGAUGAAGGUGGAGAGGGGGGUCGAGGAAAGCAAAGAAGGAUGGGUGCAUUUUGAGAAUGGAAAUGUGGGCUGACAAGGUUGAUCGAGGAAGAGUGGCUCCCGGUUUCUUGGUGAAGGGCGAUUGAAGAUCUGGGAAAAUGUGUGGAGGAAUGGGUUUUGGCUGCUCUGGAAGGAUUUAAACACAAGACUGGGUCCAUGAAACCUGGUUCCGGAGGAGAACGGAGACCUGAGCAGGAUGUCAGAAAGGCGUGGAUUGCAGAAGGAGACAAGCUGACAGGAGCCAACCAAGCAGGGUUCUGGCUGAGGGUGUGUGUUGAGGUCCCUGCAGAAGAAUGUGGGGUGCCAGUAACAAGAGGAGGAGGAGACCCAAGAAAGGUUCCCGAAGACAAACAGGCCCAAGCCCAUGAUGGCUUGAAUUCAAGAUGGACCAGCUCUGUCCCUCGGUUUUUGAAGACCUGCUCCUUCGUGGCCUCCCUGCGGCCUAGCCCUCAGGGCGUCCAGAUCCUCUGUUAGGAUUGAGCUGGUGUCCUGACCUGGCCUUCUGGAGUAAUUGAAGCGGCCAACCUGAGCCAGCACGCCCUCCCUCUGGGCACCGGCCCUGCAGCCCCGUGAGAGAACCAGUCUUCAUUCGCUCUCCCGCAGAGAGCCACCAAGUGCAGGCAGCCUGGCCGCCUCCACCCUGCGAACCGCUCGACCAGCCCGCCUCCUGCCUGCAAUGCAAGCUCUUCUUCCGUGCACCCGAGGUCACCACCACCCCGCCCGCCCCUGCUCUCCCCCUUUGGCUCUGAAAGCCCAGGGGUCCGUGGCUUCUCUCCAUUUCCGGGCCAGAACUGACCGAGCAGACUGGGCCCUGUCGCAGAGGUGGUGCGUGGACGCCAGUUGCACCGUGUCGUGCUCUGCAGACACCAGUCGACCUGGGGCUGGGUGCCCGCUUCCUCCUGUGAGGUCAGCCGCACUCCACCCAGGUCACGGAGAUAACCGGGACGCAGAGACCGGAACAAAGGACAGCGUCUGUGUGCCUCGGUUUGGUCCCUGCCCUGCAUGGCACGUUUGAACCCGUGUCUGGCCCUGGCCUCGUGACUGCGAACGUUGGCGACAGAAGAGACCGCCCACGCCCAGCUCUGCCUGCCACGUGGGUCUUUCCGCUUCCUGCGGCGGGAAACGAGAGAAGCAGUGUGCCCCCCAUGCGUGAGCGCCGCAGGGAGGAGGGUCACAGGCAGGUAGGACAGAGGCAGGCUGUCACCAGCUGUGAGCAGGACAAGUGACAAGGAACUAGAACACGGGCCACAGAAAGUGACAGAAGUAAAGGCCGCUCCGAACAA